AUGGCCAAUAAGACAGCAGAGUAGAGGAUAAAGUCAACAGUAUGAAAAGGAAAACCUGGACAGCUACGAAGAAUAACCAAGGGACUCGAUACUUUAUAAGGCUACAGUGGCCAUUUUGAGAAGAAUUGUCCCAGUCAACUUUAGAGCUGAUGGAAACAGGAUAAGAAAACUGAUCUCAGAUCUUUGUUGUUGAGUCUAGAAGUGGAACCAGACUGUCUUCCUACCCCCUUCCUGCACCUGAGCAGCUCACCAUCUCCAGAGGAAAGCACACAAUUGACUUCAUCUCAUUUUCCAGCCUGGAGGCCCCUUGAAGAGAACAACCACACCGAGUGGAGUUUUGUCUCACAAUUUGGGGCAGGCUUUGACGAGGUUCACACUGUGAGCAGGAGGAAAACCAGAAGCUCAGUGUUACUCCUGUUCUGUCAUACUUCUCACACUUCCUCACCAAAGUGGUCCCCAAAGCAGAAGAAAUGGACGGUAUGGGAUGCUGUCGCUGAACACGUCCUGCGGAAGCGUGACAUUUCUAUUAAUAAAACUGCCACUACAGAAAAUGCCGCAUGUUCAUCCUAUGGCCUUCCAGACCGUCUUGCAUCCCAUCCGUGUCCUCAGAGGUAUGUGUCAACCCAACUGGAGGAACAGCCAGCUGUACCACACAGCCUUGCCCAGCUGGGGGGUGAAGGCACAACUUGCUAACAUUGCUAUUUGUAUAUCAGUGAGUGAAAUGAGAAGCACCAACUCAGUUAAGCAACAGAUAUUUUCAAGGCAAAUUUGCUGAGCAAUAUCCCAGCUUCAAGAGUUAUCAGAGGUGAAUAACAUCUGGACAGGCUUUUAAGACAUUUCACAACUUAGAUGGAAAGAAACUCUUCUUGACUUUCCCAAAUAUGCAACCACACUCCACCCUCCCCUCAUCUGAACGACUAAUGUACCUCUUGCGGAUGACUGUGACAUUUAUUGCACCUAUUUAAAGGAUAUAAUGUUCCCUAGAGAGAAAAAAAUUAAUAAAUGCUUGUAUGUCCAGCAUGAGAAACAGUAACUAGAGAAGACAAAGUUUCAUGUUACCUGACUCCUAGAUACACCUGCUCAACCUUUCAGAGGCCUGAGUCUGUAAGGAUAAAGAAUGCAAUAUGAGAAAUAGCAGUGCAUUACCCAGAGAGUUCCAUUUUACAGCUCAGAAAAAGACAGGAGAUCUUCUAUUAUUUAUGGCAGGUUAUUUAUGGGGGAUAGAAUUCUCAAAAAUUUGGCUUUCUGCUUUAUAAAAUUAUCUCCAAAUGCAAUAAUCAUACAUAAAUGCUCUACUUCCUGUUGCUACUCAUAAUGGGCUUUUUGGUAAAUAUUUUCUUCUAUCACCAAAACAAUCUAAAUAACUUGUUUUGAUUUACUUGCUGAAAAAUCAUUGUAAAAUAGAAAAAUACUGUGUUCUUGCGAGGACAUAAAAUUCAUAUAUGUAGCAAGAAGGUGAGCUUUAAAAGUACAGUUCAGAAACUACAGACUUGAAUUCCUUUUGAUAUAUAUCUUAGUUUUAAUUAUCUUCUCUUUCCUUGAAUUUUGAUAUCUAAAAACUGAAUCCCUCUCUUCUGGAGACAGUGCACAUACUGCAAAGCUGCAAGGGUGUACAGAAUUCCAAAACUGUAGAAUAUAAUAAAAAUUAAAACCAGUAAAUCAAAUGUUUAAAAUUUAAUAUAUCAUUAUCGGGGUCUAUGAGCCUUCAUGCUUAGGAUGGACUCAUGGGGAGAUUCAAGAUUUCAAGCGAGAGUUUCAUAUCAGAAUUAUCUUCUCUAGACUAAAACCAUAUUCCAAGAGUUCUGACUUGGCAGAUCUAAAUUUAGAACUGUCUUUUAAAAUACUGAUUGUACAGCAAAGUAUACAAAUAAACAGACUCCAGGGAGGCAAAAGCAUUCGCUCCUUUCCUCCAGAAUCAGCUUCCUUUACACCACCCUGCUCUGGUGGCUGUAAGCCAAUUCCUGUGGCAAGACAUAUUAAAACAGCUGUGUGGCUCUGUGCUGAUCUGCAACGUGAUAUUUGGCUCCGUCAAGUCUGGAAAAUGACUCGGGAGCUAAUGCUGUUACCUGCCUGACUUCAAUGUAUCUUUGUUUGCUUGCCACAGGAACAACAAUGUAAUAACAGGCUGUUUACUGUCUUCAUUAUAGUGGACUGGUGAGGCUGAGUUCUAGAGGCGCUGGCAAAACUCAGCCAACAGAUUGGUGGUUUUAUUUAUUUAUUUUUUUAUAAAGUUAGCUUUUAAUGGCCCAUUUGUGAUUGAAUCCAGAACUUCAUAGUCCAUACUGCUGACCACUGUUAUAGCUAGGAGUCCUCGAUUUUGCCAAGAAUUACUGGCUGUGUCCAUAAGACACCAACAGGACCAGAUGCAAAAUGCCAUGUACUAGUUAUUUUGUCUAUAUUACAAUUCUGAUGGUAAUUUUUAAGUGACCCAACCAAUUUAAUACAAAUAGGGAGUGAACACAGACAUACCACCAAGUGGAAUUUUGCACUGUGGGGUAUGCUUGUGUGAGUGGUUCUUUUCUCACAGGUUCUAUUGUGAAAGAUUAUUGUUUGUGUCAACUUGUCAGAGCUACAACAGAGAGUAAGUCAUCUCACUUACUUGAAAUCCAAGUCUUAAAUUUAGUUAGAAUAAGCAGAUUUAUUAAUGAUUAUUAUAAUGUGGGUCAUACUAAUUGAAAAUAUCAAUUUAUAAAUUCUCAUUGAGUAUUGAGUUUUUUCUACUGUGUUAGGUUACCAUUGUUUAUAUUCCUAUGUUUCUAUUAAGUUCAGGGUGUGGCUGACUGUUUUGAUGUUAGGGUGAUAAUAGAGAGAAGCAGUUGGUUUUAACUUGGGGGGAUUUCAAAGAAAUUAGAAUCAUCUCGGGCCAUUUUAUUUAUUUUGAUAAUUUUUCAUCCUAGUCAAAAGAGACAAUGGCUAUGUCUGACUCAGGGAAAAGCACAUAAUCUAAUUUGUACCAGGAUUUAGGAGGAUUUAUUACACCACAACAAAAAAUGAAAUAGAAGCAAAACGUAAAACAUAGGGACAUUCAAACCUACCCCUUCUGUCUCCCAGUGUUUCAUUUUCCAGGCAUCCCCUGCCUUUCUUCCUGCGUCUCUGUCAAUCACAGGACUUGUCUGGCUCUCUGUCAUGUUCUCUUUCUUUCUUUCAUACCAGCAGCAUCUACCUUUUAAUACCAGCCUCUGGUACUACUCACCUUUUUCUCUCUUUUAAAUGCCUUUUCACAUUAAAAAAAAAAAAAAGAAAAGAGGUUGAGAGAAAUCUAAUUAUCUUCUGCCAUUUUCUCCCUCUCUCCUUGCCUCCUCCAUCCCUGGGAGAAAAUAGAUUCAGAUGCUUUAGGAUCAACAUACCUUUUUAACCUAAAUGAGAUUCUGAUUUUUCUACUCCAAUUUGGGAAAAUGAUAUAACAUCCUUGUCUCAUUUGGGAUUCAAGGAGGAAAGCUUUUAAUAUCUCUGUUGUAAUAUAUGAAUAUGUGAAACAUAAUGCUUGCUGUGCAUUUUUUAAUCAGAUUAAUGAAAUUCCCUUUUAUUCCUAGUUUAGUAAGUUUAUUCCUAGUUUAGUACUGUUUUGAAUAGAUUGAAUUUUAUCAAAUGCCUUUUUGUAUCUAUUGUAAUGAUCACACAAUGUUUUUCCUUUAUGACAUUAAUAUGGUGAAUUACUUUGGUCUUUGAGUAUAAAUACCUUUCUGGAGUAAAUAUCUGUAGUGAUGACCUCUU